rnacentral:rRNA from 1 species
AACGUAGGUGGCGAGCGUUAUCCGGAAUCACUGGGCGUAAAGGGCAUCUAGGCGGCCCGGCCAGUCGCGUGUGAAAGCCCCCGGCUCAACUGGGGGAGGACGUGCGAAACUGCCGGGCUUGAGGGUCAGAGAGGGACGUGGAAUUCCCGGUGUAGUGGUGAAAUGCGUAGAGAUCGGGAGGAACACCCGUGGCGAAAGCGGCGUCCUGGCUGACCCCUGACGCUGAAGUGCGAAAGCGUGGGGAGCGAACGGG